rnacentral:rRNA from 1 species
UACAGAGGUCUCAAGCGUUGUUCGGAUUCAUUGGGCGUAAAGCGCGCGUAGGCGGCCCGGUAAGUCCGCUGUAAAAGUCCAAGGCUCAACCUUGGAAUGCCAGUGGAUACUGUCGGGCUAGAGUCCGGAAGAGGCGAGUGGAAUUCCUGGUGUAGCGGUGAAAUGCGCAGAUAUCAGGAAGAACACCCGUGGCUAAGGCGGCUCUCUAGUACGGUACUGACGCUGAGACGCGAAAGCGUGGGGAGCGAACAGG